rnacentral:rRNA from 1 species
GAUGAACGCUAGCGGGAGGCCUAACACAUGCAAGCCGAGCGGUAUUGUUUCUUCGGAAAUGAGAGAGCGGCGUACGGGUGCGGAACACGUGUGCAACCUGCCUUUAUCUGGGGGAUAGCCUUUCGAAAGGAAGAUUAAUACUCCAUAAUAUAUUGAACGGCAUCGUUUAAUAUUGAAAGCUCCGGCGGAUAGAGAUGGGCACGCGCAAGAUUAGCUAGUUGGUGAGGUAACGGCUCACCAAGGCGAUGAUCUUUAGGGGGCCUGAGAGGGUGAUCCCCCACACUGGUACUGAGACACGGACCAGACUCCUACGGGAGGCAGCAGUGAGGAAUAUUGGUCAAUGGGUGCAAGCCUGAACCAGCCAUCCCGCGUGAAGGACGACUGCCCUAUGGGUUGUAAACUUCUUUUGUAUAGGGAUUAACCUACCCUCGUGAGGGUAGCUGAAGGUACUAUACGAAUAAGCACCGGCUAACUCCGUGCCAGCAGCCGCGGUAAUACGGAGGGUGCAAGCGUUAUCCGAAUUUAUUGGGUUUAAAGGGUCCGUAGGCGGACUUAUAAGUCAGUGGUGAAAGCCUGUCGCUUAACGAUAGAACUGCCAUUGAUACUGUAAGUCUUGAGUAUAUUUGAGGUAGCUGGAAUAAGUAGUGUAGCGGUGAAAUGCAUAGAUAUUACUUAGAACACCAAUUGCGAAGGCAGGUUACCAAGAUAUAACUGACGCUGAGGGACGAAAGCGUGGGGAGCGAACAGGAUUAGAUACCCUGGUAGUCCACGCCGUAAACGAUGCUAACUCGUUUUUGGGCUUUAGGGUUCAGAGACCAAGCGAAAGUGAUAAGUUAGCCACCUGGGGAGUACGCUCGCAAGAGUGAAACUCAAAGGGAUUGACGGGGGCCCGCACAAGCGGUGGAUUAUGUGGUUUAAUUCGAUGAUACGCGAGGAACCUUACCAAGACUUAAAUGGGAAUUGACAGCUUUAGAAAUAGAGCUUUCUUCGGACAAUUUUCAAGGUGCUGCAUGGUUGUCGUCAGCUCGUGCCGUGAGGUGUUAGGUUAAGUCCUGCAACGAGCGCAACCCCUGUCACUAGUUGCCAUCAUUCAGUUGGGGACUCUAGUGAGACUGCCUACGCAAGUAGAGAGGAAGGUGGGGAUGACGUCAAAUCAUCACGGCCCUUACGUCUUGGGCCACACACGUAAUACAAUGGCCGGUACAGAGGGCAGCUACACAGCGAUGUGAUGCAAAUCUCGAAAGCCGGUCUCAGUUCGGAUUGGAGUCUGCAACUCGACUCUAUGAAGCUGGAAUCGCUAGUAACCGCGCAUCAGCCAUGGCGCGGUGAAUACGUUCCCGGGCCU